UACGUAGGGGGUAAGCGUUGUCCGGAUUUAUUGGGCGUAAAGAGCGUGUAGGCGGCCAUACAGGUCAGCUGUGAAAACUCGAGGCUCAACCUCGAGACGUCGGUUGAAACCGUAUGGCUAGAGUCCGGAAGAGGAGAGUGGAAUUCCCGGUGUAGCGGUGAAAUGCGCAGAUAUCGGGAAGAACACCCGUGGCGAAGGCGGCUCUCUGGGACGGUACUGACGCUGAGACGCGAAAGCGUGGGGAGCGAACAGG
rnacentral:rRNA from 1 species